UGUGCCGUUGCAAAACUGAGCCACGCCCGUAGGGAGCUGUGCAUCAUAGUCCUUCGCCACUCAGGAGGCUUGUCAGGCUGGCAGCAGCUUCCAGCCUCUUCACCUGUUACAUGGGGAUUAUAAUAAUACCAAAUUCCCUGGCUUGUCAGGAGGAGUAAAUAAAAUCAGAUAAGGGCCACAGACGAGGAAACUAUCUUUUGCUGAGCACCCACAUCGUGUCAGACACUUGGCAACAUUUUCCAUCUAAUUCUCACGUUGACUUUGUCAGGAUGAUGUCAUAGAAGACUGGAUCCAGGCGCCUCUUCCUUUGGGUCCCGUGACCACUCAGCGGAGGGAGAAGCUAACACUGUGAUGAGACGUGACUCGCCAGAGAGACAGGGGGGCUUUCUGCAUCUGAAUGUUCUUAGCCAUCGGCAGGUGCUUCUUCUGACGUCUGGUCAGCUUGCCUGCGAGUCUCACAUGGUCCUGUUCCUACUGGGAGCUGCAGCAGCGUAGAAUGGAUAAAGGCUUCAGAAUAGGCCAGACCGGGGAAGGAGGGUCCCAGCUUGAUCACACACUUGAGGGGAGGAGAGAAGCAACUUUCAUGGAAGGAGACAGUCAAGGGAGGGCGGCAGCAUCUGACACACAGUGCUGUUGUGGGUGCUUGGUACUGGGACAAGUGAGGCACAGGCCCUGGCCCCGAGGAGCCUGCAUUCUAGAGAAGACACAAGCACUGGAGGGUGAGGCGGAUUUCUGUCCUCAGGGAGCUUCAAGCUGAGCUGGAGGUGAUCAGGCCAGAACGCCACUAUAUGCAAUGCAGCUGUACCCAGGGCUCUAGACCCCAAAGGAGGAGGAAAUGGCUGCGUCUAGAGCAGUCAGGGACUGGAGUUCUGUGACCUAAGCUGCUCAAAGUGUGGUCCCCAAAAGCGCAGGCCUGAUCCCAGACCUCCUGCAUCAGAACCCGCAUUUUAACAAAAUCCUCAGGUGAUCUGUGUGCCCAUCAGAAUUACUGACUGUCCGGAAACGGCGUGAGGCUGAUCUGGCAGGCGGAAACAAUGCACAUGUCAUUUUUAGUAAAUAUCAUGAAACUAUACAGAACUGAACCAGGUGGUGAACCGUGGAGCUCUAAGAUAGCUCAAAUUUCCAUCUGUUCAUUUAAAAUGGGAGAAUAAAUUUCAAGGAUCACUGGAAAAGGGACA
rnacentral:lncRNA from 1 species